CUAAAUUGGCGACCAACAGGACCUCUCGACCUGGCACCAUGGGGGCUUCUGGAAGUGGAGUGCAGAGGCAGUGGCCCAGGGGCAGAGGAGCUUUGUCCCCUUCAUAGGCAGCAGCCCCGCACGCCCACCCACCUGCUGCUCCUGGGCCACCCAUGUGAAUGUGCAUGUGUGCGAGCCCUUCGCAAUCCUACUGAGGACUCCCCAUGACCCUGAUCUGUGUUCUGCCUGGAGGUUGGGAACCAAUGGCUUAAACAGGUGCUCAGGAACUGUACACACACACGCAGACUAAAGCAGACCAAGAAACGAGGACAGACAGACUGCCUCUUUUACUCAUUCUUCUAUCAACAAGGAGGAACCCAUGUCAAGCAGCUGAAAAGCCCACCUGUUUUGGUGGCAAAAAAUGGGGUGACAUCUCCCCGCAACAGCAGAAAAUUCGACUCCUGGUCCAGAACUACAGUUACCAGAAUACGUUUCACUCACAUACGUUUUUGUGCCACCACUGCUCUCCAAUCAGACCUGGAGCCAGAAAGUUGCAGGAAGAGGAGGUGGGAAAAAAAUGGGCAUGGAAUACACCCACCAUUAUUAGGUAGCGUCCUGCUUGCCCGCCCAUCCUUACACUUUAAAACCAUUGCAUAGAUAAGUCCUAAACUUCCUAAAAUACAUAAGCACUGCUUUGGAAAGGAUGUGUGCUGAUGCAGAUGAUAGUGCUGGCUCCCUCCCCAUCAGAAAUUAACAAGGGAGUUAACUUCCAGAACUUUACCUGUCCAAAGGAGGCCACAGCCAUCUUCAAAGAUGACUUGUGUCUCUGAACCAGUCCUUCCACUUCUUUCAAGACUCUAGCAAUGAGGCAGCUAUGAAAGCAAACUGAAGGGAUGAUGCAUCUGGCUCAGGAAGUUACAGUUGGGUCUCAAUGCAGUGAAAUUCCCUUUAGGUAGAGACUGGAGGACCAUCAGCAUUUGGCUCAUCAUGUGCAUCUCAGUUCACUCCAUCCUACAUUACCCAUGUAUGCAGGUCUACAAUUUGCAGAACUCAGAGCUACAUUCUUUCCCUCCCCCCACCCCUCCCCCCACUUUAAAAGUGCUGUGUCUUAAAACCAAACCAAACCAGACAACUCACACUCAGAUCCAGCAGUUACAAUGAAAAACAAUCUUAGGAAGUUUCCUAACAAUCCAGUUAAAUUAUGUCCCAUUUCUGAUGCUCUUGGACUGGGAUGCACCAGGUUUGGUAACUACUGAAAGAUUAAAGUCUCUCUCUACUUGAUAAAAAGUAAUUUGUUUGGAACUAUAUUAAAUCUUCAAUUUUAAAGGAAGGGAUUUAAGAAUGCAAGAGUGCUUUUCUUAUAUUUUCUCUUCUACUGCUGUGUGAGGAGGAGUAAGGGAACUGAGGAUUACAAAUUGGAUGCACUUACUCAUGACAUCACUCAUCGGUAUACUAGAUUACACUUAUACCAGUAUGUCCUCAUUUAAGUCAUAUGCACUUGCUUUUUGCAGGCUUUCCUAAUCAGCCUAUUUGUCACUGCUCUUUGUUAUAAUUUUCAAUUAUUUUAAACAGAUAGGUAAGAAAAAAAAGAUGAAACUUUUAAAAGAAACUACUGCAGACAUCAGCUCCAAACCAAGAAGAGUCAGCUUUUAUAUUAUAGUUUCUAAGCCUGCACAAAAUGCAUGUUACAAGAGUGUAUGAUCCUUUACCACAUGCAAAACAGUGUUCUAGAAAGAUAUUUAAACAGAAAACAAAGCAAAAAACAGAUUUUCCU